GACGAACGCUGGCGGCGCGCCUAACACAUGCAAGUCGAACGGAGUCAAGAGGAGCUUGCUUUUCUUGACUUAGUGGCGAACGGGUGAGUAACGCGUGAGUAACCUGCCCUGGAGUGGGGGACAACAGUUGGAAACGACUGCUAAUACCGCAUAAGCCCACGGAUCUGCAUGGAUCUGCGGGAAAAGGAUUUAUUCGCUCUAGGAUGGACUCGCGUCCAAUUAGCUAGUUGGUGAGGUAACGGCCCACCAAGGCGACGAUUGGUAGCCGGACUGAGAGGUUGAACGGCCACAUUGGGACUGAGCCACGGCCCAGACUCCUACGGGAGGCAGCAGUGGGGGAUAUUGCACAAUGGGGGAAACCCUGAUGCAGCGACGCCGCGUGGAGGAAGAAGGUUUUCGGAUUGUAAACUCCUGUCGUUAGGGACGAUAAUGACGGUACCUAACAAGAAAGCACCAGCUAACUACGUG
rnacentral:rRNA from 1 species